rnacentral:misc_RNA from 1 species
GAUGAAGAACGCAGCGAACUGCGAUAAGUAAUGUGAAUUGCAGAAUUCAGUGAAUCAUCGAGUCUUUGAACGCACAUUGCGCCCCCUGGCAUUCCGGGGGGCAUGCCUGUCCGAGCGUCAUUGCUGCCCUCAAGCACGGCUUGUGUGUUGGGCUCCGUCCCCCCGGGGACGGGCCCGAAAGGCAGCGGCGGCACCGAGUCCGGUCCUCGAGCGUAUGGGGCUUUGUCACCCGCUCUGUAGGCCCGGCCGGCGCCAGCCGACAACCCAUCAUCCUUUUCAGGUUGACCUCGGAUCAGGUAGGGAUACCCGCUGAACUUAAGCAUAUCAAUAAGCGGAGGA